rnacentral:rRNA from 1 species
GAACUAACCAGGAUUCCCCUAGUAAGGGCGACUGAAGCGGGAAGAGCUCACAGUGUGAAUCUGCACUAUUUAUAGUGCCGAAUUGUGGUCUGUAGAGGCAUGUGUUUGGCCGGCCGGGUUAAGUCCCUUGGAACAGGGCAGCAGAGAGGGUGAGACUCCCGUUCUUGCCUGGGUUUGGCCAUUUGACACUUGUUUUCGACGAGUCGAGUUGUUUGGGAUUGCAGCUCAAAGUGGGUGGUAAAUUCCAUCUAAAGCUAAAUAUGGGUGGGAGACCGAUAGCGUACAAGUACCGUGAGGGAAAGAUGCAAAGAACUUUGAAAAGAGAGUUAAAGAGUACCUGAAAUUGCUGAAAGGGAAGCGAAGGAAACCAGUGCUUGGCUUGUUCAUAUUUCUCAAAUCGCUUGCGGUUUGGGCGCUGUGUACUUGCCUCUGUCAUCCUUGUUUAGACUCGGCGGAUACGUAUGUUCGGGAGGUAGCGCUUGCGUGAUACCGUUCAUAUUAUUGCUGGGUCGAAUGAGGCUGACG